GAUGAAGAACGUAGUGAAAUGCGAUAAGUAAUGUGAAUUGCAGAAUUCAGUGAAUCAUCGAAUCUUUGAACGCACAUUGCGCCCGCCAGUAUUCUGGCGGGCAUGCCUGUCCGAGCGUCAUUUCAACCCUCGAACCCCUCCGGGGGGUCGGCGUUGGGGAUCGGCCCUUUACCGGCCGGCCCCGAAAUACAGUGGCGGUCUCGCCGCAGCCUCUCCUGCGCAGUAGUUUGCACACUCGCACCGGGAGCGCGGCGCAGUCCAAUGCCGUAAAACACCCAACUUUCUGAAAUGUUGACCUCGGAUCAGGUAGGAAUACCCGCUGAACUUAAGCAUAUAAUAAGCGGAGGA
rnacentral:misc_RNA from 1 species